AGAGUUUGAUCCUGGCUCAGGACGAACGCUGGCGGCGUGCCUAAUACAUGCAAGUCGAGCGAGCUUGCCUAGAUGAUUUUAGUGCUUGCACUAAAUGAAACUAGAUACAAGCGAGCGGCGGACGGGUGAGUAACACGUGGGUAACCUGCCCAAGAGACUGGGAUAACACCUGGAAACAGAUGCUAAUACCGGAUAACAACACUAGACGCAUGUCUAGAGUUUGAAAGAUGGUUCUGCUAUCACUCUUGGAUGGACCUGCGGUGCAUUAGCUAGUUGGUAAGGUAACGGCUUACCAAGGCAAUGAUGCAUAGCCGAGUUGAGAGACUGAUCGGCCACAUUGGGACUGAGACACGGCCCAAACUCCUACGGGAGGCAGCAGUAGGGAAUCUUCCACAAUGGACGAAAGUCUGAUGGAGCAACGCCGCGUGAGUGAAGAAGGGUUUCGGCUCGUAAAGCUCUGUUGGUAGUGAAGAAAGAUAGAGGUAGUAACUGGCCUUUAUUUGACGGUAAUUACUUAGAAAGUCACGGCUAACUACGUGCCAGCAGCCGCGGUAAUACGUAGGUGGCAAGCGUUGUCCGGAUUUAUUGGGCGUAAAGCGAGUGCAGGCGGUUCAAUAAGUCUGAUGUGAAAGCCUUCGGCUCAACCGGAGAAUUGCAUCAGAAACUGUUGAACUUGAGUGCAGAAGAGGAGAGUGGAACUCCAUGUGUAGCGGUGGAAUGCGUAGAUAUAUGGAAGAACACCAGUGGCGAAAGCGGCUCUCUGGUCUGCAACUGACGCUGAGGCUCGAAAGCAUGGGUAGCG
rnacentral:rRNA from 1 species